GAGGAUUGAGAUUUGUUUGAUAAGUGGCAAGUGCCAGACUCCUUAAGAAGGAGCCUGCAAUGAGAGGCUGGGGCACCUGGGGCAUUCAGCUGUUUCUCAUCCAGGAUUCUCCUGCUGGUCUCUACAGAAAUCUCAAGAGAUCACGCGAGCUCACGCUUCCUCGGCCUGGUUCCACUGUCCUCUGAGUAGCCCCAGAUACUCAGGGCUUCCCAACCCAUCUUCUCCUUGCCCCUCCAUCAGGACCCACACUUACCUCCCUUCACCCACUGAAACCACCAAAGCACACGCUGGGGGCUCCAGCUGCACCCUUCCUGGAAAACCCUGAACUCUACCCACGCAGACCAGGCCCCAGGCCCCAGCCUGCCUCUACCCACGGGUGGUUUGAGUGGAUGUAGAGCAGCAUUUGGAGCCUGAGAGGCUCAGCUCUGCAGGAAGAGGGGAAGGAGGAAGACUGCGGGAGUCUGGUGACGGAAGGCGGUCAGAGCUAACAGCACCGGAUAUUAUCAGAAUUUACCGAGUAUCCUUUGAGAACUGGAAGCAGCUACACUCCAUGCAUUCAGUCUCCUGAUUCUCGGUGAAGAACAAGAGGAUCCAGUAUUGUGUAGAGGUCCUUCUUUGUCAUCUGAUGAUGGGAUGAUGGCUGUUUUGGUGAUGACUUUCCAAAACUGUGUUAGUACUUGUAGUCAAAACUCUGAAUUUCCAUCCUGAAUGGCAAAGAGAUCGUCAGGGCUAUACUUCUGUUUAAGUCAUCUGUACUCAACACUGAAAAUGAGACACGGUAUUUACAUCACUUCACUUGUCUUUGCUGGACAGAGGAGCCUGGCGGGACUACAGUUCAUGGGAUCACGAAAAAGUCGGACAUGACUUGGCGACUAAAACAAUAACAAUUUGUAUUUACUAGUAUAUUUCUAUUACUAAAUAUCACCAUACUCAUAUGAUUUACCUUCAUAGAAUGACGAUCAGAAAGACAAGAACAAUCAGGAAAGUUAUAGUAUCAGGAUGACCUAUCUUCCCAUAUGGUGGACACAAAUUGAUGUUUUAGAUUAAUAUAUGCAAAAAACAAUCUAUUUGCUUUGGAAAAUGGUCAGUAGACAUCAUUCUCUACUCCCUUAAAACCUUGAGCAUUUAACUUAAAAAAUACAUUUCUUUUACUUACAAAAAAACAUUUGAUUCUAAAACAUUUGUCAAUAAAGGAGUUUCUUAAUAGCA
rnacentral:lncRNA from 1 species